GCGGGCGUAGUUCAGUGGUAGAACGUCAGCUUCCCAAGCUGGCCCGAAAGUGCCCGCG
rnacentral:tRNA from 1 species